rnacentral:lncRNA from 1 species
CAAAAUAAAACUUGUGUUUUAUCAUAUCUAUGUCUUCCUUCUAAGCUUUCUAUCUUUCUGAAAGUCAAAGCUAUAAUGUUUAUACCAUAACCCUCUACAUAGAUAUUAGUAUGCUCUGCACUUGCCUCUAUGAGGAUCUUGUGCAUCAUAAAAGACAUGUGACUUUAGAUCCAUGUUACGGUCCUGCCUAUUAUGGUAACAUGCUAUAUAAGAGUAGCCGGACCUUGAGACAUAUAGAAGCCAACGGUUGGCUCACCGAAGUCUCGGUUGGUGAACCUUAUAGGUGUGUUAUCAUGAUAGGAGGCUCCCAGCCAGUGUAAUAUCAGAGCUAUCUCAGAAAAACAGGGAGUAUAUAUGAUAUGAAUGUUAUAUGAGAGGUGAGUAGGAAAGGGCACAUACUUAUGAAUACAACUAUAUGUACCCCUGUUUAUACAUAAAAUAUUGGGGGAUGAGAAUUGGAGUCCAAUAUUAUUCGAAAGUGAUUUGUGGGACAAAAUCAACGUGAGUGUCCUUGUUGAGCAGUUAAGACAGGAUUUUGAUAUAAAGUGCAGCAUGUUAGUUAGCUUGGGUUAAAGAAUAAAGAGUGCUAACUGCGAAAAUGGAUCCUCUCCAUUACUGGAGGAUCCAGUACCACAUAGGAUUAUGACAUGUGAUUUUAAAAAGAUUUAAAUUGUGUAGAUUUCAAAGUAUUUUUUAACAAAAAAUAUUAUAAAUGAUGAAAUUAAAUCUGGGCCUCAUAUUCCAGUACUGGACCCUCCAGUACUGGAGAGGAUCCCAGCCCGCUAACUGCUAAGGCUGGCUUGUGACAAUAACAUUGCAACCCACUUACAUAAAUUCAAACACCUGGUGCGCAUUGCUUGUUGCCAUGUGGCAGUCUCUCUCAAUACCAGUAAUUUAUGUCUUCUGCACAUGCAAGAGUCGAGUGGUUUCACAUCAAGGCCAUUCAUUUUUUUUCUUCCCUUUUUUGUUUUUUAUUGUAGUUUGAAUUAUGUGAAAUUAUUGUUUAAAAACAUAAAAAUGUUAUUGUCAUGCUUGCAGCAAAUAAUUU